rnacentral:rRNA from 1 species
GACGAACGCUGGCGGCGUGCUUAACACAUGCAAGUCGAACGCCGACGCUCAGCUUUUGUUGGGUGGCUGAGUGGCGAGCGGGUGAGUAACACGUGAGUAACCUGCCCCCUCCUUUGGGAUAACGCCCGGAAACGGGUGCUAAUACUGGAUAUUCACUGGUCUUCGCAUGGGGGUUGGUGGAAAGGGUUUUUCUGGUGGGGGAUGGGCUCGCGGCCUAUCAGCUUGUUGGUGGGGUGAUGGCCGACCAAGGCUUUGACGGGUAGCCGGCCUGUGAGGGUGACCGGUCACAUUGGGACUGAGAUACGGCCCAGACUCCUACGGGAGGCAGCAGUGGGGAAUAUGGCACAAUGGGCGCAAGCCUGAUGCAGCGACGCAGAGUGAGGGAUGGAGGCCGUCGGGUUGGGAACCUCUUUCGCUCAUGGUCAAGCCGCAACAAUGGUUGUGGUGAGGGUAGUGGGUAAAGAAGCGCCGGCUAACUACGUG